GAGCGCGGCCCGGGGGGAGCGCGAAAUGGCGGAUGCGCGGGCGGGCGGCGCGCACACGAACGCGCGUCUCCGCGUCCCUCUGUCCGCCCGCGGACGGUCCGUCUGUCCCUCAGUGCACGGGAUACGGAGAUGAGCGACCGGCACCGGUUCCCGCCGGGGCAACAAAGCCUGCCCCCUGUUCCGUGCCCCGACCCGCCCGCCGCCCCCGGCCCCGCUCACUCGUCAGGGAACAGAAGUGGAAACUCGGAGAGAAACCUGCGGACUGCUAGUAAAUGAGAUGGAGGCAAGAGCUGAUCAAAGCUUUGAGGUCUUCUCCUCAGGGAGAAGCAGUGUGUCCUUCAGAGGUGGUACCAGAUUUUGCAGCUUUGUAGCACAAUAUUACAAUAAUAUUCCUGUCACUGCUAGAGGUUUGGCCAUAACACCAGAUAAUGUGUGAGUGCAAGCCUGCUGCCCUCCCUUUGGAAGACUGUGGGUGCUCUUUUGGGCGGCAAUGCUGUCUAUCCCCCCCACCCCCUUCCCACCCAUUCCUUUGCAAAGCCCGGUUUGUCACCCCCUUGGCUGUGCUAAUGCAUCUCCCACUGAGGAGUGACACUGCUGGAUCUGCUAAAUGGUCACAGCUAAUAAUACCCCCCCAUACCUCUUUCUUUUGGAAAGUUAUUCAAGGAUCCAGCGUGCAGAAUGGCAUGAUAAACAUCUUGGCAAAGCUGAGCUGGCAGCAAAAGGAAGUGUCAGGACAGGAGUAGAGCGGUUGGGGGCAAGGAAAUGGUAGGAACGUCUUCAGCUGCUGUACAAUAAAAGACCAGAUGUAAUGAUUUGACACAGUUCCACCCAUCCUAUGUCUUUUUUUCCCCCCCAAAGGAUGCUGAGAUUGCACAGACCUCUAACAUCCUCAAAAUCUUUCAUGCCAAAAAUUCCUGUGAUUAGCAGGAACAUUGAUGUGCCUGAAGUGGGGAGCAUUUAGCAUAAAGUGGCAUUUAGCAGUUGCUUACUACAGAAGCAGAAUAUGGGGAGAGUUAUAGCCCUGUGAAAAACCCAGGGCACAAUCAUGUAAUUAAAAGGCCAUUAUAAUGGUUGUACCUCUGAGGUGGACUGGGUAUUAAUCACUGUCUGAUUAAUACUUGAGAGCUUGUCUGUGUGAUCUGGAUGUAGUUUUAUGUGCUUAUGUUGUGUGUGCACAUAUUUACCCCAAUGGUGAGAAGCAAAUGUGUCUGAGGCUUGGAAGCUGAAGUUUUACUUGAUCUAGCUUCUUGAGUCAUUUCCUGUGGAUUUGCAAGAUCUCUUAUUUGAUCUCUGCUUUCACUGUCCUGCCAAUUUGCAAGCUGCUAAGUGAUUUAUUCUCUUAAUGGUUUCUCUCACUCACUGCACAACCCUCUUACUAUUACUUUCACCGAAGUAUUGAAUUUUAUUUUUCUAAUAUUCAGGUUACUGUGCCGGUUCUUGUAAGCCUGUUGGAGCUGACUGACUUUUCUGAAUGAAAAGGCUCUCUCUCAGAGGUGUGAUUUCUGUUUGUGCAUUGUGUUGUUUGUACACAGAGCUUCUGCUCGAACACAGAGUAGCGCUUCCCUGUGAUGCGAUCGUUAAGGUACCUAGAAUUAAUCAGCCUUUGGUGGCAGAGCUUCAAGGCAGCAGCUCCUGCAUACUAACGAUUUGCCUGCUAUGACUGUCCUGUGUUUUAUAUUCAAAAGAAACAUUUCUUUUGCAGAGUAAUACUUCAGCUGUUGCAGAGAACCUUGUUUCUGCUCAGAUUGGAAUAAACUUCCCUGAGUGCUGUUACACCUUUAGCUAGCACUUAUUUAGGGUGAGAACCACUGGAAUUUGAAGUGUCAAAGUUUAGGAUGGCAUUUACUGCAGGCUUGCAACGUAGCCUCCUGCCUUCACUUACUCUCGCUUGUAAAGCCUUUCAGCCUUUGAGCUGAAAUCUUCUGCACUGUUGAUUUAGGAACCUAAUUAUGAAUGUUGGUACCCUGUUGACUGUGCUGAAUUCAAUGAUUUUUCCACUGACUCAUUUGGUGACUUUGAAUGAGUGAGGAGUGGAAGUCAGCAGUCCUGAAUCAUGCCAUCCUCCAGACAAUUACCCCCCUCCCCAAUAAUUCUUUUGAGCAGCAAUCAUAUUUUAAAAGCAGCGAUUGCAUCUGUAUUUUCCCCCAUCAUAAUUGCUCAGAAUUUAAGAGCUACAAAAACAAUCUGCAACAUUUCAAGUCAGUGUAAAGUCUUUCAGGAUUGACACUUUUUGGGAGGUCACAGUUUGGAAAUACUGUGGGGGUUUUUUUCCAGCAGGAGUGGGAUUUUGGCAUGUGGUUUGGAGAAUUGUUGGGAUCCUUUCUGGGCACCUGCCAGGGGAAGAGGAUGUGGAGAGCUCCUUGCAGUCUUCCCAGGAUGUCCUUUUGGAGGCUGGUAAAACCAGAGCAGGCAAGCAGAACAGACCCUUGCUGCCAGAUGAGCAGACUAUUCCACUUCUCCAUUUUUCGGGCUUUGUAAACCUGCAUUUUACCAGGACAGAAAGUUGAGGCGAUCUCUGCGCUGCUGCCUGUGUGGCUUUUCUGGCUUUUCUGGACACCAUGGUAUCAACUUGGGCAACUGCAGCAAAUGUGCUGAGGGCUGGGAAGGCAUUGACCAGUGCAUGGAGUCAGGCAUGAGUCAUGCCUAUGGGACAAAUCUGGUGUCGUUUGUAGCUGCGUUCCUCAAACCUUGUGCUCUCCUUCAUCCUCUCCCAAAAUAAAAGCAAAGUUUAUUGAAAUGGGGAGAUAGUGAGGAAAAGCAGUAUUUUCAAACCCUUGCUUUCCUACUGGGCACUCUGUUGCCCUCUUAAUAUUCAGCAGUAAGUGAUUUAUAGCCCCCCUGACAUGGUGGUUUGGUGUUUCCUUUGUGUGCAUAACUUCCUUUUGAUAUAAAGGGAUGAUAACAAACCUAAAUUGUAGUCUCACAAGCACAUGACACUUUGUGGUGCAGAUAGCAGGAAAAUGCUCUAAUCUUGAGUUCAACACUUCAGCCUACCCACCCCCAAAUUCCACCCUGGUGAGAGGGUGGCACUAGCAGGUUUAGUGAGACAGCAGUGUUGGUGGGGGUGAUUCUUUCACACACAGUAGUGCAGGAUGAUGGUUUUGGGAGUGCCACUAGAGUCAAGUCCCUGGCAUGGACUCAACAAGAGACAGGUGCACAGCUGCUUCUUGAACUUUUUUGCGUACCUUUUUGUGCUGAAUGCUUGGAAGGAAAAACUGCUACAAAACCUUCACUUUCUGCUGCCAGUUCUGCAGUGGUGCUCCUGCGUGUUCCUGACUCAGCAGGGAUGGUCCGUCCCUGGACCAUCAAACUGAAAAAUAAGUGUGCAGAAACUUUGCAAGCGUCACCACAACCUCAGGAUUAGUCCUGAAGCCAGGCUACUCUCAGCAUGAGGGAAGGGCUGCUCUUCUCUUGAGAUGCCUUUCCACCCUUGAGAGGUUUCUGAAUUUUUGAUACAGCUGUUUCCAGGGCCUCAUGAGAACUGAACAAACAGAUGCCAAAUAAAGUUUUACCUCACAGAGCACAAAAGUGGGUGGAUCUCGGAAAAACACUGGACUUGUUCACACCUUUGUCUCCCCUCCUUGGGGAUCAUUUGAAUCAGGUUUGAACCUUUUAAGUGUAUUUCAGAAAGCUGCCUUCUGAUAGCCAAACUUCACUUGGGUGUUCCUCCCUUUCUCUCACAGCUAUUGUGGGACCAUCUCCUCUGAACACUCAUGUUCCCUUUAUUGCAAAGCUCUUUGAUCAGCCUCAGCAGGUGACAUGAUGAACAGUUGACUGACUACUUUGGCAAAACCAGUUUUUGUGGCUUGACCUCCUUUUCACACACAGUGUCUUGCUGUGAGUACAGGGUCCUAUUCAGUGUCUGAGUGGUUAUAAUUGCUGGUUUACCCAGUCUAGACCUGGUUGUGGGAGAAACCCCCGCACAGGUAUCAAUCAGGAAAGGCUUCUGGAGUUAAAUUAAGCAUUUGAAAUAUGGAAAUGCUGACAUGGCUGGGUCAGAUGUUUGAUGGUACACAGGGGAAAUGAGUUGUAUAUACCCUGUCUGAAUCCUCAUUUACUCAGCCCUUGGCUUCAGGGCUGCUCAGUGACACUGACCCACUCCGUCCUUAGCAGAUGCUUGGCCAUAUUUAAUUUCAAAGGGUGCCAGUCCACCCUCUUCUCCAGGCAGAUAUUUUCCCUUGUGUCAACAUCCUCAUAACAACUCCAGUUUAGGCAAAUAUAGCACAUGCCUUAUGAGUGUCCUGGAAGGACUCAGAGGUGGAGAGUUAGAGCUAAAGAAGUCUCAUGGUUAACCCCAUGCGCCACCGAAUAGCUUUGGGAUAAGUUGCAGCACAUGAUGAGGAAGCUGGGAGGAGAGUUUAAUGGUCCUGCAGAGAACACCUCCUUGGACAGCCACCCUCCAAGAUGUUCCCAAGGAUUCCCAUGGAAAAUAAUCCUGUGCUCCUUUUAUGUUCUGGUAAUCACACACAUACUAUGCCUCCCUGCCAGUUCUGAGGAGAAAAGUGAUUAGUCACUCCACACAAAAACCUUUGGGAACUAUACAUAUACUCCACUAUGGAUGCCAGCUCCAUCUAGAAGGGAAUGAAGACUCACAGCUCUGCUCUGUGUGGUUGUCAACAGAAGCUGCUAUUUGCAGGUACUGGAUGCAAGGCCUUCCAGGUGCCCACUGCCAGCUGCAUCCCCAGCAGUGUUUGCUGCCAGGCUUAACAAAGCCCAGAAAUGCAAGCCCAGCUCAUGAGAGCUUCACACCUACAAGACCAAAAGCACAAGCUUGAUCCUGCUCACAGAGCUCCCUUGUUCAAGACAGUAGACUCUCCGGUCUCUUAGAGAAAAAAAGAAGGGCUGGUUAUUGCUGGAUGCCUGUUCUGACCUUAAAAGCUGAAAGUAAAAACAAUCCAAGAUAUGGGGCAUGCUGAAGUGGCAGCUGAAGGGCCUUUUUUGUUCCUUCUGCAGUUAAUGCUGUCGUGCUAAAAUUGCACACGGGUGGGAGUGGGGGUUAAUUUAAGGUUUAGUGUGACCAAGAGGAAUUAUUUAGAAAAUAGCAAAUGGACAGCAUUCUGCAAAAUGAGCUUCACUUCCCUAACCAGGAGUACUUGACUUAAGUUGAAGAGACUAUGAAGGAAACCUCCAUAUCCAUGGCAGGUAAACAUUUGCCUUUGAUUCUGUUUUUCUCUUCAAGUCUAGAAACCCCAGCAUUUACACUUAAAUGGGUAUGCUGUAAGCUAUGUUUAGGAAGAGAGUUUCAUCCCCUCCUGCACGUACUUUUACACAUGAUAAUUAUUUGACUGUAGCUUUACAAAGUAUGGCUGGAGGGAUGGUUUGAAAGGGAGGAGUUACAUAGCACUGAUGAUAACUGCCUGAUUCAGCCCUACUGAAGGCAGUGGCAGCAGGAUCAGACAAUCCAGAAGAGAUUAUUUUAUUUUAAAUAGCCAUUAUGGACCUUCAGUGACUUAUGAUAAAUUCCUGCCUUCUGAUUUCAUGCACUGGAGAACACACAUGUGUGCUGGAACCAUGCAUGUCUUCAGAGUCACGUGUUCAGUGUGGACAUGAAUCUGUGCAUUUUGUCACCAUUUAAAAAAAAAACAAAACCAAACAAAAAACCCCACAAAAACUAACAGAGAGCUAGAGAGCUUAUGAAGAUGACAUUUUUGUGAAUGAUGGUAUUUUUUAAUACCAUCGAUCUUGUCUUCAUCAAACGUAUCACAGAGUCUGAGCUUUUCCUUUAUUUUUUACAUUCUGCUUCUUCUCACCCACUUGAUCUGGUCCUUCCAUACAAAUGGAGUUGUAGUCCAAAACUCAUGGAGGGGUGAAAGAACUGCUCUAUAACCACAUGGUCUGGAUGCAAUACCUUGCACGUAAGUGCUUCUCUUUUUGCCAAAGACAUUACCACACUACCAGUAUUUAAUUUGUUACCACACAAAGUUCUCUGGAUAGCUGUGACAUUGAAACACUUCCUAUAAAUUGGUUCCUGCUCAGCUCUAAAGACAUUUGGGUCUUCUCUUUGGUGUUUUUCAGUCUAAAAAAGUACAAAGGUGAAAACUCUCCCACGAGGCCUGAUCAAAAUAUUGUCUAAAUGGCAGUCUAAAUUUUGGCCUCUCUCUGGCUUGCAGGCAAAGCAGGACAAGUCUUUGUUUUCUUGAAAGAAACAGGGAUAGCUGUCUUUAAAAUCCUGAGGGGGUGGAAAGCAGAGAUGAUUUCCACCCUCCUGUGGCAAGGUCACUUCUAUUCCCCCUGCAGAUGGACCUACUGUAGAAAGAGGAUGGGCAAGGCACCUUUUGAGAAAGGUCACCAGAGCCUAUUCUGUGCUUUCUAAGGAAUGCAAGCAGAGUCAUUUGUAGGUAUGGAGGAAAGUGUUGGUCUUCCAUUACAGCAGAAGGAGCUACAGCCCAAGGAGACACCUGGCUGUCAGGAAGAGGACUCAAACUCAGGAAUAUUUGGGAGUCAUUUAAGACAGGAAGACAACAUCCACUCGAGUUUAAUUCCCUGUGCUUGUUUGUGAGUGUCUAGUUGCUUAGCUGUGAGUGGUGCAUAAAUCACCUGAGACUCUCCAUUCCUCUGUAAUUUACUGUUGGAAAGGACAGAAAUAAAUUCUAACAUAUUUGUGCGACACACCAGAAUUACUCCAAACUUAGAAGAAUUUUGGAGCAAAGUUAAAUGUUUCAAGUCUAAAUUGCACACUGCUAAUUACCUCCUUAUAUUUUAUGUCAUCAUGGAUUAAAAUGAAAUGCUGCUGUGAAGGUGCCCCAUCAAACAGAACAUGAUUCUAGUUGUUUGCCUUGUGUGGCUUGAGUAAAAGUGCAUUUCCACCCUAGGAAAGUCUUUUAUGCCCUGAUUUCCAAGUUCAAAAAUAACUCUCUACAGAUGAAACAUGAUUCUCACCCUUUAAAGUAGUGUUUUCACCUACAAAUACUUGCUGCCUAAACAAGAGCUCUUUCCUUUGCACUUGUGCCAACAUGCAACUUGGAUAAAGAACUAAACUUAGAUUCAUAGUUAUAGUGCUUCCACUGACUUUUUUGGUUUUGUUUUUUAAUAAUGACUGUAAGACAUGUGCCAUCUCUCUCCUGAAUUUUAAUCUUUCUAAUGAAGGUGUGUUUGAAGAAGGCACACCCUUCAGAAGAUGUUUUGUGGUAUCGUCUUUGAGCCUUUAGUGUUGAGGACCAGCUGCAUUUUCAAUUUUAAAUGCACUUUUCAGGGUCUUACAUCACAGAGGCCUAAAUUAAAACACACUUACCAUAAAGAGGUGCAGCACAUGCAUUCAUCCUGGAAAUUGCACUGCGACAUGAAAGAUAUCCAAGCCCUACAUGUAAUUUUGAAGAUGAGCAAGCCUUGGCCUUUCAGAUGUCCCACGUGAGGGAAGCGCACCCACGUCCCGCAAAAUUGUAAGCUUCUGAAUCAUGGAAGCUGGAUCUUAAAGCCUCUAAUUCCCACUGAAUUAGAGAUGUUUGAUGAUGUGUGUGGCUGUGAAAAUUAAUCCCAGUGCUGGACUGGGGGUGGCCGACUGCCUGGUGGAUGUGAGCCUACGCAGGAACCCCUGUGGUCCAACACUCAGGGUGACCCAGGGAGAUGCAGAACUCAGCGAUGGGCAGCUCUCACUUUGUGCCUCCCAGCUCAUCCUCCACAUGUUAUUCAGGAUCAGGGAUCAGGAUCUGGUGGCUCCCCAUGGCAUGAAAAUUUUCUUUAGUGGUUUGCAGGCUGAAAAAGGCUGGUCAUGCCUUCUAUAAAGAAUUAUCUGAUUAGCUGUAGAUGUCUUUCUCCUAAUUUAGGUUAUUGGAGAAAAUUUUUCUUCUCUAGUAUGGUGGCAAACACCAGGAGUGAGAGCACUGCACCUUUAUUUUGGACAUAUAUACCAUGAUGAGAGCAGCAGCUGGUCUUUAACUUCACUCCCUGCAGCUAUGGAAACCUUGCCACAGGUUGUGCACCCUGCAGAAACAGAGACCUCCUUUUGGGGUUCAUGGGUUUAAUGCCAAAUUCUCUCUCCAUACACAUGGCUCCCAGGAACCAAAAAAUAGCUUCAGAGAGCCAUGAGCUUCACUAGCCUGCAGGUAUACAGAGGGAACCCCCAAACUUCAGCCUGAGUGAGACUUCCCUUCCUGCCUCUAUUUAAUGUUAGUUUCACUUGCAGCUGUUCAGGGGAAAGGUUUUUUAGCAAUCUCUUUCAAGUAUCAGAUACUGGCAAUCCCUCUCCUGGAGUGCUGUGGUUGGAGAGUAUCCUGGGCUAACGUGGGAGGGCAAGGCUCUACCAUAUCUAAACAUUGCAGUAAAUGUUACUCAGCCUCCUGUAGGGUUACUGGGCUUGACACAAAUGUCCUAGCCAAGCUCACAAGGAAGAGGAAAUAUGGGAAUAUACGCCACCAGAAGACACUAUCUCCCUUGACGUUUUUGUCUGUAAAACAAUAGCUUACAGAGCGUUUUUAACUGAAAGGUGUUGGCCUUUUUCCUUUUCAUUUUUUGACUUUUGUUUCCUGUAGGAGAGUCUCUGGAAUUCCUUAAUGUUAUCAUCAAGUCCUAGGGAUUUUUUCCCCCUCUUUUAGCUGUGCUACAUCUCCCAGGUUGCCAUCAAUGCAAAAUUGCUGAGGGAAGACAUUUCUGUUUAAACUGGAAGCCAUGAAUACAAGAGCUUCUCCUCCCAAAGGAAAUGUUGUUUUUACUUCCAUGUCCCCAAUCUUACAUCUUUGCUUUGUACUCAGGUAUUUUCACUUGAGACUUCCCAGUUUCCUAGAAAUUCUCAUUUACUCUCUUGCUGAGUCUGUGGAACAAGAUACUAAAUCCAUCUUGCUUGGAAAAAAAAUUAAAGAAAGAACAAUAAAACCGUAAUUGAAACAUUUUGCUGAAAAAUGUCACAGCAUAGUGAUUUUUGAAACAAAAGCCAAAGAAAUACUUUUUGCUUUUCUAAAUUAGGAAAAGAAAUGCGUGUGUAUACCCAUUCAGUUGGAGUGGAAUUGGAAAAUCUUUGUUUCAUAUGCAGUGCCAGCUUCAGGAAAAGGACAGUCUGGCUUUGUCUUCUUAUGUGUAUUUGUGUGUCUUUGUUAUCAAUAUUUAGCAGUCUUGGGAAGUUUUACUGUGAUGUUGAGGAGAAGGCUGCAAUUCCAGGCACUAAGGCGGCUCCUUUGGAAAGCCUGAAAUGUGGCUGCCUGCUCUUAGGAACUUCUCUAAAACCACAGGGACUCUGCACCCCACUUCCUUCUAACUCAGGACAACCAGAUGUCCAAGGCUCAGGUCCAUUCUGAGGUCCUAACAAGCAUCUUUGGGAUAUUGUUUUGUCCCAAUU